GGUUCUCAAAGAAUACUCGAAUCCAAACAACCUUAUAAUGCUGAGUCAGUUGGUCAAACCCCAAUCCAAAUUCAUGAUCAUAGUUCCAUAAGGAGUGCUCAGUCACAAAAGGCGCAGGAGGCAGAGGUCGGAACUCUCUGGUGGCAGGAUUCCACAAACUCAAGCGUUCACCGUGUUCAAAAAAGAUUUCCUGCACUAAGAAUAAGCCAUUAACUGGGCCAGCAAGAAUUUUGAAAUAAUCGACCCUUGGAAGAUAAAGGAGAAUUUUUUCUUCAGGGGUCACACCCGAAACUAUUUUUUCAGGUAGCAACGAGACUACAGCAGACUGAAAGACGAUGUGUUCUUCCGCUUCAAGUUUCAAGUUGCAAAUGAGGAGACGGGA
rnacentral:misc_RNA from 1 species